UACGUAGGGUGCAAGCGUUAUCCGGAAUUAUUGGGCGUAAAGAGCUCGUAGGCGGUUUGUUGCGUCGGCCGUGAAAACUCAGGGCUUAACUCUGAGCCUGCGGUCGAUACGGGCAGACUUGAGUUCGGUAGGGGAGACUGGAAUUCCUGGUGUAGCGGUGAAAUGCGCAGAUAUCAGGAGGAACACCGGUGGCGAAGGCGGGUCUCUGGGCCGAUACUGACGCUGAGGAGCGAAAGCGUGGGAGCGAACAGG
rnacentral:rRNA from 1 species